UGCACAAAUGCUUGUGCCUAUGCACGCAUAUUAUUUAAUGUUGGCAAAUAACAACACAAAGUGAAAUAGAGAGUUAGAGAUCAACUAAUGAGAAAUCUAUGCUACUCUGAGACAUUUCAGUGUAGGUGGUACCAACAAAUUAUAUGCAAAUGUCAUCAAUAACGGAUAUGCAAUUCGUUUUUCGUCAAUUAGAGCGAGUCAAACGAAAGUUGUGUGAAAAUUAUUGCGCUUUGUAAAUUGUUGAAUAAAAACUUAAAUUGUGUGUUUAUUUAGUGUUUUUAAAUGUGAAAAAGUAGUGCAAGUGAUUUGUGAGAUUAGUGUAAAUAGUUAAAUUGUGUACAAAGUGCAAAAUAGUGAUUAAACGUACAUAUUUGCAGAUUUACAAUCGAGCCUCUUGUGGUUACUACAAAGUGUCGCCGUGUUCAUUCAUUUUGAAGGUCAAGAUUUAAGCGUAGCUGUGAAAAAAAUGCGAAUUACAAUCGAGCCUUUUGUAGUUACUACAAAGUGUCACCGUGUUCAUUCAUUUUGAAGGUCAAGAUUUAAGCCUACCUGUGAGAAAAAUGCGCUCCAGCGAUUUAAAAUCGUGAACGGCUUUAGUUUGUUCCAAAGAAUCUGUCACUCACCUGGAAUGUCGGCAAGUCCAGCACAGCCAUGGAGACCAGUAGAUUGAAAGUGGCUGCCGCCAAUGAAACCGUACGCGGCGGAAUGCAUUCACCUGCAGAAUAAGAGAUGUGUAUAAACAAAAAGAAUACAAACUGAAAAUUAUAAAAAAGAAACAAUCGAAGACAAGGCUCUCAAGAAUCUUAUCUUAUGUAUAUGCUACAUAAGAUGCAUUUGCACUAGCCGGAUAUGACGCUAAUAAAAAACAUUAAAGGGUAAAAUCACUAAUUUCCGCCUUCGCGUACAACUCACGUCGCGUUCACACGCACACACACAGACACAUAAGUAUUCGACAGACAGAAAGCCAAUCAACUGUUAAAUGCACUUUGCACUCGAUUAGAAUGUACUUAGACGAAUGAGUGUGCGAAAGAUGCACGCACUAAAGAGAAUGCAAUAAAUCACGAAAUCGUAGAGGAAAGCAGCACAAUGAAUCACAGACAAGCGGCAUUUACUCACCGAUUGGCACCACGCACGCGUAGAGCAUCGAUACCGAACCGAAAAGUUCCGUGGAUUUUGCUGCGC